UACGUAGGGUGCGAGCGUUAAUCGGAAUUACUGGGCGUAAAGUGUGCGCAGGCGGCCGCGCAAGUCGAGUGUGAAAGCCCCGGGCUUAACUUGGGAAUUGCGCUCGAAACUACGUGGCUGGAGUGUGGCAGAGGAAGGUGGAAUUCCAGGUGUAGCGGUGAAAUGCGCAGAUAUCAGGAGGAACACCGGUGGCGAAGGCGGGUCUCUGGGCAACAACUGACGCUGAGGAGCGAAAGCGUGGGGAGCGAACAGG
rnacentral:rRNA from 1 species